rnacentral:lncRNA from 1 species
CUGAAACCUCAGAACAAGCAUGAUCCCAGAGCAAUAUAGGAUCCCAGUUUCCCUACAUCUCUGUAAGAAAUUUUUCCAAUUAAGAGAACUUGGUUAGAUGACAGCUCAAAGACAUUUCCAGCUUUUAGAGCCGUGAUUAUGGAGUGUUGAUGGGGAAUGUUGGAUAUAAAUAAGCAAGAAAAAUUACACAAGCUAUUUAUCCAUUAACAGAAGAAAAGAGAAUGAUACUUGAGUGGAUCAGAGCCUGUUUAAAAGCUGAACUGAAGAAGGAAAUUGAUAAUGCAAGAGUAGAAAGAGACCUCAAUGAUGCUGAAUGGUGUGGUGGUGGUGAUACAGGCCUAUACAUCCCAGCACUCCGGGAGACUGAGGCAGGAAGAUUGCAAAUUGGAUCCCAACCUGGGCAACUGAGAGACUUAGCAGAGACUUUGCCUCAAAAAAGGAGGGGUAGGUAGUGGAUGUAGCUCAGUGUGAAGGUGGUGGGUUCAAUCCCCAAUUCCUGGAAAAAGAAAAGAAAAAAACCUGUACCCUAAACUCUAAAAUCUAGAAGAGAAAAUUUCAAUGAGAAAAAUCUUUUAAACUACAGACAUUUUUUGGACUUUCUAGAAAUGCAAGAAAAGGUUAUCCAACUAAAGCUGAAUUGAUACCAUAUGUAUCAUUCCAGUAAAGAAUGAAAAAUGUAUUCUAGUACCAAAAAUCAUCUAAAAUCCUUCAUAUUUGAUGUAAAGUAGAAACCCAUUAGUUUUUCUUUCUUUUUUUGUCCAAACAGCAAGUAGACACAGAUUAAGAUUCAUCUUUAUAUUACUGGCUUUAAUUUUUACCAGUUGUUGUAUCCUUUUUUUGAUAUUUUACACUGGCCAGGGUCCAUUUUAGUGAAAUGACCUCUCCUUUUUUGGUAUUAGCCUCCGCCGCCCUUAUCACAAAAAAUAUCGUAGGCUUAAUGUGGGAAAAAAUAAAAAUAUUGAAAUUUAAACAGAAUAAAACAUAACCCUAUCAUCAAAAAUAAAUAGUGAGGG